GGCCCCCUACGGGGCGCAGCAGCAGGGAAUAUUGCUCAAUGGGGGAAACCCUGACGCAGCAACGCCGCGUGGAGGAUGAAGGUUUUAGGAUUGUAAACUCCUUUUGUUAGAGAAGAUUAUGACGGUAUCUAACGAAUAAGCACCGGCUAACUCCGUGCCAGCAGCCGCGGUAAUACGGAGGGUGCACGCGUUACUCGGAAUCACUGGGCGUAAAGAGUUCGUAGGCGGGGGAAUAAGUCAGAUGUGAAAUCCUGUAGCUUAACUAC
rnacentral:rRNA from 1 species